GUUUUUCUCUCUCUACGUCGAAAUCGCGGAUUUCGCUCGUUUUCGUCGCCGCGCUUGUUCUUCGUUGUUUACGAGCGUCGCAGAGCUUACGUGGACGUGUGGGAGUGUGUUUUGGAAGGCUUUUCGCAGCUCUGGACCAGCAAUUCACUGGUUGGAAGCUUGAGAAGGUUUGCGAAUCACAUUAAGCUCUUUUGGUAACCUGGGAGGCUAGUUUAGAAGGUAUUCUACCCUGAGCAAGACGGUAUUUGACUCUUGGACUGUCUUUGACUGGCAUUGGAGGGCCUUUUGGGAAACUUAAUUUGAGCAGCGUCGAGGCUUCAUUGAGCAGGGUUCGUGACUCCUUUUGGCUGGAUUGAGCUUGGUGAUAGGUGGGUCGGACCUUCCCGAAAUG